GACGAACGCUGGCGGCAUGCCUUACACAUGCAAGUCGAACGGUAACAGGCCGCAAGGUGCUGACGAGUGGCGAACGGGUGAGUAAUGCAUCGGAACGUGCCCAGUCGUGGGGGAUAACUGCUCGAAAGAGCAGCUAAUACCGCAUACGACCUGAGGGUGAAAGCGGGGGACCGUAAGGCCUCGCGCGAUUGGAGCGGCCGAUGUCAGAUUAGGUAGUUGGUGAGGUAAAGGCUCACCAAGCCGACGAUCUGUAGCUGGUCUGAGAGGACGACCAGCCACACUGGGACUGAGACACGGCCCAGACUCCUACGGGAGGCAGCAGUGGGGAAUUUUGGACAAUGGGCGCAAGCCUGAUCCAGCAAUGCCGCGUGCAGGAAGAAGGCCU
rnacentral:rRNA from 1 species